UCGCUGAUCCAUACCGUCCUCCGCGAUUUAACCAUCUCCAUCUCCACCGCAGAAAUUUCUCCCCUCUACGCGCAAAGACCGUGCGAAGACUACGCCUCACCCUCUAUAUGCGCGACUCCACCGCUACCGCCGCCAGAGCCAAGUUCUUCUCCAUCCGCCUCCGGAGUCGUGCUCCUCGCUCCUCCUCCUCGCGUGUACUGCUGCUGUGCUGGAGCCGUGGUCUUCCCCAUACGACGUCAUCUCCAGUCGCCGUCGGAGCCGAGGUCGUCCCCUUCCGUCUCCGCCACUAUCGCACAGCACCGCUGCCCCCCCCCCCCCACCCCCCUGGAGACGAGUUCUUCUCCAGCUACCGCUGGAGCCGUGCUCCACGCUCCUCCUCGCGUGUAUUGCUGCCGCCGCCGGAGCCCUGGUCUUCCCCAGUCCGUCGCCGGAGCCGAGGCCCCCCCCCCCUCUUCCCCUGCCCUCGAAGCUGAGGUCUUCCCAUCCGGCGACGCCACUGCAGUCCACCGCUGCGCUCAACGGAGCCGAGGUUUUUGUCCUGCUCAGGAAGGGGGUGUCGCCAAAGUGAAUUCAAGACAGCUAGCAUUCAAUACUUUACACAAGAUCCAGGAGCCACCAGCAAUGCAAGUGGUUGUCUUACUGGUAUGUUGUGAUGAUCCCAGAGUCCAAGGUUGGAUGCUUCAUAUCAUAAAGGAGUUGUCCAUGUAUUUAGGUACCAUUUGUUAAUAUCAUGACGGCCAUGGUAAAGUUCAUAAUAUGUCAAUGUAUAUAGUUCAUUCCCUAUCGUUAUUUUACUUUUCCUUUGAGCUGAAAUAUUGCCCAUGGGGUUAGCUCAUUUGUGUGGCAUUGGUGGUAUAUUCUGAUUGAAAUUUAUAAUUGGUUGAUGUACUAAAGAGCCAAAAAGCUACCCUAGACCUUUAACUGUUAACCUUGUAUAGAUUUGGAAAUAUAUUGGCAAGGACUCAUGUGACUUCACUAUAUCAUGCUAUUUAUGUUGCUGAUUAAAAUUAAAUUGAGGUGUAUCACUGUGGCAAUUAAGCUAAGAGUAAUCAGAUUCCUAAUGUUUUGAGUUUACAACCUUUUUCCUUUCAUCGUGAAGGCUGCAAUUUAUUUCAGUAAGAUACAAUGUUUCUGCUUUGAGGAUCAAACCCUUCUUCCAAUGCAAAGAAGAAAAAGGGAAAUUCAGCCAAUGUGCAGGUAUAGCAGGAACAAAUGUGUAAAUAUUAGAUGCCUUGCCCAUACAAUCUCUUUGAGAUGUAGCUGUUGGUACUUUCUUAUGUUCCAUGGUGCCAGUGGUAUGUUCUGCAACUUGAGCAAACACGAUUUUCCUUUUUUUUUCUUCUCUUCUUUCACAGUUGCUAAUAGUCAUUUUCUGCACAAAGUUUUAAUUGCAGGCUACUCAAGAACCUAAGAAGUUCUGUCAUGAAGCUGUUGUUUUUCUGGAGUCCCUUUUGGUAACAUCUAUUAGAGGACACUUGGGACCUCACCUAUAAAAAACAAGUAAAUUUUGACCAUUGCUUCAUAUUAAGUGAAUAUCCUCUUUAUAUAUACCAAUGAUCAAUUUUGGAGCUCAGGAAAAUGGAACCAUGGCUUCAUUUCCUUAAAAAGUGCAUCGGUUGAAUCCACAGUGUAUAUUCUGCAAGUUAUAAGCAAGGAUUUUGAUGCUCCUUAUUUCUUCCCUGAAAAUUUCAAGUAAAGAUGUGUUUUUUGGAAUUUUGAAUAUUUGCAUUGUGCUGAUGACUUCUAAUUACUAACGAUGUAAUUCAUAAAUUUUAUCUAUCAGCAUAUGCUUGCUUAGCCGGUUUGUUAUUCUUUUUAUUUGGAUAUACGUAGUUUGCUUGAAAAAUUUGAUGGGGCUAAAAGAUUAUUUGGUUUCUCAGGAAGAUGCUUGAUGCUAAUGUCUUCUCGAGCUUUCAGAUUCUUCACAAGAAAAAGAGUGUGGCUGUGGACUCCAGGAUUACAUUGAAUCUUGAAAAGGUAUGCACUAUUCCAAUUUCAGAUGAUGCAUUUCCCUGAUUUGAGAUGUUUCCUUUUUUCCAAUCUAACAAAGGAAACCUUUCCUUGAGGGAAUUCCAUGAAAUAUAUUGGUUUCCAGAUUUCAAGAUUGUUAGGUCAUUUCGUGGCUGCCACUUCAACUGUAGGUGUGUGCAUAGUUUAGCAAUAUGACCUCUUUAGAUUAAUAUUGUGGUGAAGGAAAAUAUAUAGGCGUUUUGACAACUGUUAGUGUUUCUGAAAUGUUCACACUUGCUAUCUACUUUUUACUUCAAUUAAGGCAACUAUGAACAAUAUUUUUUUUUGGAAUUAUGUGAUGACCAUUUCCUGCAAGUGAAAUGGAUGUAAAUUUGUGUUUUGUAGACCACAUGAACUUAUGUGGACACACGGUAGGACCUGUAGGACCUAUAUACAUCUCAUUGGUGAUCAUGUAAAUGCUAUUUUUAAUUGCUGG
rnacentral:lncRNA from 1 species